rnacentral:lncRNA from 1 species
CAUUUGAUUUUUGCUUGACUGAAAGGAAUGUUGAUCCUACGCCCCUAGUUAAGUCAACUUGUGUUGACUUUCUGGUGGGCUUAAGGACCUUUGGGCCUAUGCACUUCUCUUCUUACACCCUUUCUACUUCUUUUUGGGUUGCCUUGUUUUGUUUCUAUUUGGCUCAUUAUCUCUUUUACUUAUUCAUUUUUAUGAUAUUUAUUAUUAUUAUUUUUU